rfam:Picea glauca, whole genome shotgun sequence.
AUAACGGUGUCUUUAGACACCACUUUAUCUUCGAAUCUUUUUUUCU